CUAUUCCAUGUCUUUGUGCUUAAGGAUGACCGAAGAGAUACAAUGAAUCUCAAAGGGAAAGGGUCAAGAUAUUGAGGGAGAUUGGGUGCAUGAGUAUGGCCAUCACAGUUCAAUGAAUAUGGAACCCUGCUGGGGAAGCCCUGCCAGUAUUAAAAGCCUAGAGCAUGGAAGCAGUUGCAGAGGAUACUGAGACUCAGAGGGCAAGCAAAGGGCAGGACAAUGAAUGAAACUGUUGUCUGUUCAACUCUAAAGUCAGAUCUUUUCCCAAGGCUCCAUGAUGCUCUCCAAGGGUAAGUCAGCUUAUGUCGCUUUUCCUCUCCUCCAGACUUUUAUCUAUAGCCCCA
rnacentral:lncRNA from 1 species